rnacentral:rRNA from 1 species
GACGAACGCUGGCGGCGUGCUUAACACAUGCAAGUCGAACGGAAAGGCCCUGCUUUUGUGGGGUGCUCGAGUGGCGAACGGGUGAGUAACACGUGAGUAACCUGCCCUUGACUUUGGGAUAACUUCAGGAAACUGGGGCUAAUACCGGAUAGGAGCUCCUGCUGCAUGGUGGGGGUUGGAAAGUUUCGGCGGUUGGGGAUGGACUCGCGGCUUAUCAGCUUGUUGGUGGGGUAGUGGCUUACCAAGGCUUUGACGGGUAGCCGGCCUGAGAGGGUGACCGGCCACAUUGGGACUGAGAUACGGCCCAGACUCCUACGGGAGGCAGCAGUGGGGAAUAUUGCACAAUGGGCGGAAGCCUGAUGCAGCAACGCCGCGUGCGGGAUGACGGCCUUCGGGUUGUAAACCGCUUUCGCCUGUGACGAAGCGUGAGUGGCGGUAAUGGGUAAAGAAGCACCGGCUAACUACGAG